rnacentral:rRNA from 1 species
CCUGGUUGAUUCUGCCAUUAGUCAUAUGCUUGUCUCAAAGAUUAAGCCAUGCAUGUCUAAGUAUAAGCAACUUUGUACUGUGAAACUGCGAAUGGCUCAUUAAAUCAGUUAUAGUUUAUUUGAUGGUUUUUGCUACAUGGAUAACUGUGGUAAUUCUAGAGCUAAUACAUGCAUUCAAGCCCCGACUUCUGGAAGGGGUGUAUUUAUUAGAUAAAAAUCAACUUUGUUGGUGAAUCAUAAUAACUUCUCGGACCGCAUGGCCUCGUGCUGGCGGUGCUUCAUUCAAAUAUCUGCCCUAUCAACUGUCGAUGGUAGGAUAGAGGCCUACCAUGGUUGCAACGGGUAACGGGGAAUAAGGGUUCGAUUCCGGAGAGGGAGCCUGAGAAACGGCUACCACAUCCAAGGAAGGCAGCAGGCGCGCAAAUUACCCAAUCCCAACACGGGGAGGUAGUGACAAUAUGUAACAAUAUACGGCCUUAUACGUCGUAUAAUUGGAAUGAGUACAAUUUAAAUCCCUUAACGAGGAACAAUUGGAGGGCAAGUCUGGUGCCAGCAGCCGCGGUAAUUCCAGCUCCAAUAGCGUAUAUUAAAGUUGUUGCAGUUAAAAAGCUCGUAGUUGGACCUUGGACCUGGACAGGCGGUCCGCCUCACGGCGAGUACUGUCUUGCUGGGUCUUUCCUCUUGGUGAUCUGUUGUUUCGGCAGCAGGGAACCAGGACCUUUACUUUGAAAAAAUUAGAGUGUUCAAAGCAGGCUCGACGCCGGAAUAUAUUAGCAUGGAAUAAUAAAAUAGGACGUGCGGUUCUAUUUUGUUGGUUUUUGGAAUCGCCGUAAUGAUUAAUAGGGACAGUCGGGGGCAUUAGUACUCACAUGCUAGAGGUGAAAUUCUUGGAUUUUGUGAAGACUAACUUCUGCGAAAGCAUUUGCCAAGGAUGUUU